AGUGAACGCUGGCGGUAGGCCUAACACAUGCAAGUCGAACGGCAGCACAGAGGAGCUUGCUCCUUGGGUGGCGAGUGGCGGACGGGUGAGGAAUACAUCGGAAUCUACUCUGUCGUGGGGGAUAACGUAGGGAAACUUACGCUAAUACCGCAUACGACCUACGGGUGAAAGCAGGGGACCUUCGGGCCUUGCGCGAUUGAAUGAGCCGAUGUCGGAUUAGCUAGUUGGCGGGGUAAAGGCCCACCAAGGCGACGAUCCGUAGCUGGUCUGAGAGGAUGAUCAGCCACACUGGAACUGAGACACGGUCCAGACUCCUACGGGAGGCAGCAGUGGGGAAUAUUGGACAAUGGGCGCAAGCCUGAUCCAGCCAUACCGCGUGGGUGAAGAAGGCCUUCGGGUUGUAAAGCCCUUUUGUUGGGAAAGAAAUCCAGCUGGCUAAUACCCGGUUGGGAUGACGGUACUGUAUGAAUAAGCACCGGCUAACUCCGUGCCAGCCGCCGCAGUAA
rnacentral:rRNA from 1 species